AUCUAACAUCCCUGAGGGCUGGAUGGGGCCGAAGAUGGCGGAGCACUAGCAGGCCCGAGCCAUUAAGAGAAGCUGAAGUGUUUUAAGUGCUUUGGGGCAUUUAGAAUCUGAUGUGUCACUGAGACAUCCAGCGGAGCACUCCCCAUAGAUAUUUGAGAAGUGAAAAAGAACAUUCGAACCCUCGACUCACAUGAUUCUGUAGCAUUUUCUGAGUCAAGAGAGAACUGAGGGCUGGAGAGAUGGCUCAGCGGUUAGGAGCACUGACUGCUCUUCCAGAGGUCCUGAGUUCAAUUCCCCGAAACCACUUGGUGGCUCACAACCAUCUGUAAUGGGAUCUGAUGCCCUCUUCUGGUGUGUCUGAAGACAGCGACAGUGUACUCAUAUAAAUAAAAUAAAUAAAUAUAAAUAAAAA
rnacentral:lncRNA from 1 species